rnacentral:rRNA from 1 species
GACGAACGCUGGCGGCGUGCUUAACACAUGCAAGUCGAACGAAGAGCGAUGGAAGCUUGCUUCUAUCAAUCUUAGUGGCGAACGGGUGAGUAACGCGUAAUCAACCUGCCCUUCAGAGGGGGACAACAGUUGGAAACGACUGCUAAUACCGCAUACGAUCUAAUCUCGGCAUCGAGGAUAGAUGAAAGGUGGCCUCUACAUGUAAGCUAUCACUGAAGGAGGGGAUUGCGGCUGAUUAGCUAGUUGGAGGGGUAACGGCCCACCAAGGCGAUGAUCAGUAGCCGGUCUGAGAGGAUGAACGGCCACAUUGGGACUGAGACACGGCCCAGACUCCUACGGGAGGCAGCAGUGGGGAAUCUUCCGCAAUGGACGAAAGUCUGACGGAGCAACGCCGCGUGAGUGAUGACGGCCUUCGGGUUGUAAAGCUCUGUUAAUCGGGACGAAAGGCCUUCUUGCGAAUAGGGAGAAGGAUUGACGGUACCGGAAUAGAAAGCCACGGCUAACUACGUG